UUAUUUAUUUAUUUAUUUUUAUUUCGAGGUUUUUCUCUCAUAUAAUGCAGACAUAUUCUUAGAUUUUGUCAAGUAGUCUUUUGAAUAUUUAACAUGCUACUUGGAAACUUACAGAAUGGACAUCCACAAAUAACUGAAAGGGAGUUGACAUCUACAAAUGAUGGUAAUGUUGCUGAAGAUCUGAUGUAGAAUCAUGAUGUAUUCUUACGUACCCUUUGGUCUCGCUUGACAAAAUUACAGGUGGUGUGCCAUUUUUUGGAACGGAAUAAUAUCAAGGGUGCUAUAGAUGCUACGAGGAAGUUGCAUGAUCAUUCUGUACAAGCAGACCUGAUCAGUGUUCUCAUGGAGAAAAUGGAGAUUCUCACCUUAGGUUUGCACUAAACAACAUGGGGAGCUGAUUUGAAGAAAAUUCAAACUGUUUGACAGUAUAUGAUUGAGAUUUGGAAAGUUGUAGGGUUAAACCUCCAAGGAACUAGAAUUUUUAUGGUCUUUAAUUUGGCAUUGUAAUUCAAAUUUGAGCCAAUCUAUGUUUUUUUUAUAUUAAUUAUCAGUUAAUUCUCAAUCUCUAUUCCUAGUUAAAUUUAUAUAAAUUCUCAGUUAAUUUUCA